rnacentral:rRNA from 1 species
CCUACGGGAGGCAGCAGUGGGGAAUAUUGGGCAAUGGAGGAAACUCUGACCCAGCGACGCCGCGUGCGGGAUGAAGGCCUUCGGGUUGUAAACCGCUUUCAGUAGGGAAGAAGCGAAAGUGACGGUACCUACAAAAGAAGCACCGGCUAACUAUGUGCCAGCAGCCGCGGUAAUACAUAGGGUGCAAGCGUUGUCCGGAAUUAUUGGGCGUAAAGAGCUCGUAGGUCGUUUGUUACGUCGGAUGUGAAAACCUGAGGCUCAACCUCAGGCCUGCAUUCGAUACGGGCAAACUAGAGUUUGGUAGGGGAGACUGGAAUUCCUGGUGUAGCGGUGGAAUGCGCAGAUAUCAGGAGGAACACCAAUGGCGAAGGCAGGUCUCUGGGCCAAUACUGACACUGAGGAGCGAAAGUCUGGGGAGCGAACAGGAUUAGAUACCCUGGUAGUCCAGACCGUAAACGGUGGGCACUAGUUGUGGGAACCUUCCACGGUUUCUGCGACGCAGCUAACGCAUUAAGUGCCCCGCCUGGGGGAGGUACGAGUCGCGAAGAAGUUAAACGUAACGAAGGAAGUUAGACGGCGNGAGACGUGCCGAACGGACGACGACGAGGAGUAG